GAUGAACGCUGGCGGCGUGCCUAAUACAUGCAAGUCGAGCGGACAGACGCGGCGCUUGCUUGUCGGACGGUAGACGCGGACGUAUGAGAAACACAUGGAUACAGUCCUUGUAAGUAUGGGAUCACUUCGGGAAACCAGACCGCAUACGAGAUAAUAUAUUGAACCGGGGGGUUCAAUAGUGAACGACGGUUUUGCGGUCACUUAUAGAUGGAUCGGCGUCGGAUUAGCUAGUUGGUAAGGUAAAGGCUUACCAAGCCAACGAUGCGUAGCAGGCCUGAGAGGAGGAUCGGCCACACUGGAACUGAGACACGGACCAGACUCCUACGGGAGGCAGCAGUGGGGAAUGUUGGGCAAUGGGCGCAAGCCUGACGCAGCAAUGCCGCGUGCAUGAAGAAGGCCUUCGGGUUGUAAACUGCUGUUGUACGGAACGAAACGGCUCUGGUUAAUACCCGGGGGUAAUGACGGUACCGUAAGAAUAAGCACCGGCUAACUACGUG
rnacentral:rRNA from 1 species